GACGAACGCUGGCGGCGUGCCUAAUACAUGCAAGUUGAGCGCUGAAGGUUGGUACUUGUACCGACUGGAUGAGCAGCGAACGGGUGAGUAACGCGUGGGGAAUCUGCCUUUGAGCGGGGGACAACAUUUGGAAACGAAUGCUAAUACCGCAUAAAAACUUUAAACACAAGUUUUAAGUUUGAAAGAUGCAAUUGCAUCACUCAAAGAUGAUCCCGCGUUGCAUUAGCUAGUUGGUGAGGUAAAGGCUCACCAAGGCGAUGAUACAUAGCCGACCUGAGAGGGUGAUCGGCCACAUUGGGACUGAGACACGGCCCAAACUCCUACGGGAGGCAGCAGUAGGGAAUCUUCGGCAAUGGACGAAAGUCUGACCGAGCAACGCCGCGUGAGUGAAGAAGGUUUUCGGAUCGUAAAACUCUGUUGGUAGAGAAGAACGUUGGUGAGAGUGGAAAGCUCAUCAAGUGACGGUAACUACCCAGAAAGGGACGGCUAACUACGUG
rnacentral:rRNA from 1 species